rnacentral:rRNA from 1 species
CCUACGGGAGGCAGCAGUGGGGAAUAUUGGGCAAUGGGCGCAAGCCUGACCCAGCAACGCCGCGUGAAGGAUGAAGGCCUUCGGGUUGUAAACUUCUUUUAUCAGGGAAGAAGAAUGUGACGGUUCAUGAGGAAUAAGUCACGGCUAACUACGUGCCAGCAGCCGCGGUAAUACGUAGGUGGCACGCGUUAUCUGGAUGUAUUGGGUGCAAAGGGCGUGUAGGCGGGAUCGCAAGUCAGAUGUGAAAACUCAGGGCUCAACGCUGGACCUGCAUUUGAAACUGGGUUUCUUGAGUGCGGGAGAGGCAAUCGGAAUUCCGGGUGUAGGGGUGAAAUGCGUAGAUAUACGGAGGAACACCAGUGGCGAAGGCGGAUUGCUGGACAGUAACUGACGCUGAGGCGCGAAAGCGUGGGUAGCAAACAGGAUUAGAUACCCUGGUAGUC